CUGUGAGUGGUUGGCUGAUGCUGCCUGGUCCUGUAGUGUUGGAUACACUUUAAUCCUUCCCUCCCCUGCUUGCUCACUCCUGGAUCAUCCUGAAUGUUCCAUUGGAAGUGCCUGUUGUGACUGCCCAGCUUCUGAGCUCUCCUACUAGGACACCAGAUGCUAUGCUACAUCUUUAGGAAACAGCAACUAACAAGAGAAACAUUGUUUCUGCCUUCAUAGAAGUUAAAGUCAAACACAGAAGCAGAUAACAGGAAUCCAGCAGAUGCUCCCCAUUCUGAUUAGAACAGAGAAGAAAAUGUUAAAGGACCUCAGACUGGAGACCUCUCCAUCUCGACAGUCACCGUUUAUGCUGAAACGUGCACUGUUUUCAGCAAGAAGUAUGAUCGCCGUUUUCAAAGGUCAAAUAAAUCACCUUUAAAGUCGUGAAAAGAUAAA